rnacentral:lncRNA from 7 species
CGGCUGAGCCGAGAGGAGACGGUGCAGCACCUCGCCGCCCCCGGCGCAGGGACUGGCUCGGCGGCCGCCCGCACGGACAGCGCCGUGGGAAAUGCAUGCCUGGGGAA